rnacentral:tRNA from 1 species
UCAGUAGCUCAGUUGGUUAGAGUACUGGCCUGUCACGCCAGGGGUCGAGGGUUCGAAUCCCUUCUG